UACACCAAUACUAAUACUCUAAUAGAGUUUUGUUUCAUCGGAUUUUGACCAAUACCCUACCAUAGAUACAACAAUCUUGCAUGAUGAUAUAGUUUUGGCAUCUCAUUCUCGUGUAACUAUUUCAAACGUUGUUUCUCUCUUAGACGGGGAGCAAAAGCAGAUCGAUGACGAGGACUAGUAGACGUUAACUUUCCGUUGCAACAUGUAAGGAACUGCUACUCGUACUUGUACUUGUGUCCUAAGCAAAAGCUUCUUUUUUAUUAUGGUUUUUCUAAAAAAAAGUUUAUGAUUACUGAUAAGCCUCUAGUACUGGUGACUGUUUUCUGCAAGUGUAACACCUUACUGAGAGUAUAUUUUUAACUAGUUUUUACUUCAAAGAUAGAUUGAUUAAUCAGAUAGAGAAUCUGUGUGUUAUAUGUUACCCUCGCAGUUUUGAAAGUUAAAAACACUAACAUAAAUUUUUUCAGAAAAAAAUUAACACCAACAUAAAUGGAUCAUAAUUUCGAUUUCUGGACCGCGUUGAUGUCAUAUUAUAUGAAACAAAUCAUCUGGCCAAAACGAAUAAGACAAGAAAGAUUGGUUGACAAAUAUAUUUGAAAAAGUCAGACUCAAUGGGGGUGCAAUCCUAUUUGUUCAAGACCAAGAGACCAAAUACUCCAUAAUUAGACAACUUUCUGUAUAACGACAGGUUUGUUUUUGUCACUAUAUAAAAAUUGCACAUCAAAAGGUAUAAAACGUUAUCUGUUUAAUGUAGCAGUUUAAGAUACAAGAUGGAGAGACAUCAUACAAUACAUACAAUACAAUAACUAAAAGGAAGAUACUAGCAUCAGUGAGGCCAUCCACGUCUGCAAAUUAAAUCAACCUAUCACAAGUUGCCAUGUCAGCAUCAUUGUCAAGUUACCUUUCGUCUCCGUUAUCUUCCUUCAGCCGACAAAACCUAAAGAGACCGGUUAAAAAUCCGAUUUAUCUUCCACGUCCCACUUUGCUUCAUUAAUGUGAAUAACCUCACAAUUUCGCUACCGUAUUCACUUUCCUCCCUCUCUCCCUUUUCUAUGUAAUCGAUUGGAUGAUCGCCUUUAAACCAUUGGAGCAACGUACGUUUCAGUAUGCCCCUGAUUUUUCAGAAAUACCUUUCUUCUCUUCUGAGCAGCUUAUCUGACGCCAAAGAUGUGGGCGAAGCUCUCAAACGAUUUACAUCUAUUCGGAUCCAACGGCUGCGGAAACGUUUGCAUCCAAAAAAGUUCUUCCUGUAAGAAAAGUCAGCAGCUGGGGCUGAGACAGUAGGAUCUCUUUCGUGUUGAUCAUACAAGUUUGCGAUAUAGAGCUCGAAAACAAAGCCAAGGAAGUGGCAGAGCUGAAAACAGAGAGGCUGACC